ensembl:snoRNA U3 Small nucleolar RNA U3
AAGACUAUACUUUCAGGGAUCAUUUCUAUAGUUCGUUACUAGAGAAGUUUCUCUGAACGUGUAGAACACCGGGGGGAUUAGCUCAAAUGGU